AUGGAUCUAACAGCCAUUAAAAAGUUACUCAGUUCUCGUAGACCAAGUGCAGACUACUUGGCUGGCGUAGAUGGUUUCCUUGAUUUUGCAUACACUGGAAAAAGUUCAGAUGCCAAGAUCCAUUGUCCAUGCGUCAGAUGUGUCAAUAGGAACUUGUUGAAGCGAGACACCGUAUAUGAUCAUUUGGUGUGUAAUGGAAUGCUACUUCGAUACACAGUUUGGGGUUGUCAUGGUGAAACUGCAGGAUACAUCUCCUCUAACAAACGAAAAAGGUCAAAACAGGAAGGCAUAAACUCUAAUAUGCGCCAGCUAGUCCAUGAUGUUUUCGGGAACAUAGAUAAUGGGUCUCAAGUGAAUGACUUCGAUGACCCAAACCCUCCAGAACAUGGACCAGAUCCUGAAACCCAAUCUUUUUAUGACUUGUUGAGAGAUGCAGAUGUACCUUUGUGGGACGGGUGUGAACUAUCAAAACUUUCUUUCCUUGUGCUUCUGUUCAACAUAAAAUCCAGUAACAAAUGGAGUAAUAAAUCUAUAAAUGAUUUGCUAGCAGUUCUACAACAAGCAAUUCCAAAUGGCAAGAAUUUACCUGGAACUUUUACCGAGGUCAAGAAGAUCAUUGGAAAGCUUGGGCUUAGUUAUGAGAGAAUUCAUGUUUGUGAAAAAGAUUGUCAGCUUUUUUGGAAAGAGAAGGCUAAUGAUGACUUUUGCUCAGUAUGUGGAGCAUCAAGGUGGAAAAACAAACCUGAUAAAACCGUGCUAACUAACAAGGAAAGGAAAAAAGCAACCCCGAAGAAGGUGCUCCGGUACUUCCCUAUUAAGCCAAGGCUUAAGAGGCUUUUUAUGCACAAGGAAACUGCUAUAGCAUUAAGAUGGCAUGAUGAGGAACACAUAAAAGAUGGAGAAUUGCGACAUUUAGCUGAUUCAGCGGCAUGGAAGGAGAUUGACUCUAAGUAUAAGCACAUCAGAUCAGAUUCUCGAAAUAUUAGAUUCAUAAUCACAGCUGAUGGAUUCAAUCCGUUUGGUAAGCUGAAUAGUAAACAUAGUUGCUGGCCUGUUGUCCUAGUACCCAAUAACCUUCCACCAUGGUUGUGCACGAAGGCAUCUUCUCUUAUGCUCACUCUGCUUAUUCCUGGUCCAACUUACCCUGGAAAGAAUUUCCAUGUAUUCAUGCAACCAGUUUAUGAAGAACUAACCGAGCUGUUUAUGGUAGGAACACAUACAUAUGAUGCAUCUCGAGGUGAGAUGUUUCAACUUUAUGCUGUUGUGUUGUCUAACGUGAGUGACUACCCCGGGCUAGCUCUCUUUGUAGGAUAUAGCGUAAAUGGUGAGUUUGGUUGUUUUCCAUGUCGUGAUGAAACAUGUUCUAAACGCUUGAAAUAUGGGCAGAAGUACUGUUUCAUGGGGCAUCGCCGAUUUCUGCCCCCAGAUCACAAAUUCCGUUUUGAUGCUAGAUCGUUUGAUGGAUCUGAAGAACAUAGAGCGGCACCUAGUGCUUAUGCGGAAACUAGAGUUGUAGAUCAAAUAAAAUCAAUUUCAGAUUUUCAAAAAUCCAAAACAUGGAAGUGUGUCAGUGGCCUAUUCAAUUUGCCUUAUUGGGACUUCAAUUUACUUCAUCACAAUCUUGAUAUCAUGCAUAUUGAGAAGAACGUAUGUGAAAACAUAUAUGGAACACUUCUAGGAAUAGAAGGCAAGUCCAAAGAUAAUUUAAAGGCACGACAAGACCUACAGCACAUGAACAUUAAACGAGAGCUGCAUCCACAAAAAAAACCUAAUGAUAAGUAUUAUCUGCCACCUGCUUCCUAUAACCUAUCUAAAGAAGGGAAGCAACAAUUUUGCGAAGUCCUUCAUCGUGCAAGGGGUCCGAAUGGGUUUUCAGGAAACAUCUCAAGAUGUGCAAAUGUUGUUCAAGGGAGAAUCUCAGGCCUUAAAAGUCAUGAUUGUCAUAUACUAAUGCAACACUUUCUACCACUUGCUAUUCGAGGUCUACUCCCAGAUCAUGUCACAUCUGUGUUGUUCGACCUGUGUGGGUAUUUUAGAGAAGUGAGUGCAAAAGUCCUAUACAUUAGCGAUCUUGAGAAGUUGGAGGAGCGAAUCAUAAUGACAUUAUGUCAUAUGGAGAGAAUAUUCCCACCAGGUUGGUCCAGUGUGCUACCGUUCGAUGUGGUUUGUGGAAAGGUAUAUAGGUAA
rnacentral:rRNA from 1 species